GAGCACAUUAAUCUUUCAUGGAGUCUACAUGCUGGUUAAUACUUCACAAAACACAUGAAAUCCAUCAAGCCUUGCGUGUUCUCUCCCUGGUGACUCGCUGUUUGCAGUGGGACGCAGCGGUCCUCUGAAGACCCCCUUGACGCGCCGAAAGUGUCCAUUGCUCAGUCCACCGGUCCAGUCUGUAAAGUGCACGCAGCCCCAGCCAAGCUGCAGCAGCAGCGGCAACAGCAGCAUCCCAAUAGGAGUUCUCAGUACAGAAAUGGGGAGCAGACACUCUGGCAGGUGCGCCCCCGCUUCAUGCACGACGAAGAGGAGAGAAGAAGGAAACAUUUGACCCCCUUUUUCUUUAAUUUUGUUAUAAAUCACCCUCUUUGUGAAUGAAAUUCCGCGGCAAACUCAUCCAGAGCAUGCAGUCUCUUAGUUGUUAUCGUGCGCCAGCACAGGCAGACUGAAAAGGUUCUGAGUCUUUCUCAAGGAAAACACACUCACCCUCUCUCUCUCUCUCUCCUCCUCCUCCUCCUCCUUCUCCUCCUCACCCCCUCCCUCCCCCUCUCUCUCUGUACAAGUGUCUGACUCUCUUUCUCAGGGGCUGCACCGGACCAGAUUCCUGUUGCAGCCUAUAAUAAACAGCUCGUGCCCGUGCGUGGGUCAGGAAUGGGGGGGAAUCAUUUCUGUCCACGCUGUGCUUGAGUAACUCAGAAUUGAAGUGCAAUUCCCCACCUCCCCUCUCCACUCCUUAUUCUUUUCCUUGUCUCCCUUCUUUCGUUUUCUUCUACUAUUUUCCUUUCUUGUCAGGAGAAGAAAAUAUAAUGAACUUUACUGCAAACGAGGCUGAGGCAACAUGUUUGUGUCAAUCUCUCAUCCUCUCCUCGUCCCCUAUCUCUCCUCCUCAUGCUUUGAGGGCUUCAAAGUAAAAGCCCCAUGCUUCUACAAGGUCUGGGUAUCGUCAGGGGAAAAAGGAAAACCUCACUCAGUUGCAACCUCCCGGGUGUAACGAUUAGAUUACAGAUAAAAGGCUCUUUUUCUCCUGCUCGGCCUGUCAAACUGCUGCCGUCAAAGCGCAGCUCGGAGCUGGCUGUGUUUGGCGCUGUUCACCAGCGCGGUGCUGAAACUGUUCCACUGUGAGCACCCACAGAGGAGUCAUGCAUAUUCAGCCCGGGAUUAGGGUUCCUUUUUUGUUGUUCCACAUCAACACUGAACGCUACAGACAGCUCUGGGUUUUGGAGGUGGAAGGACACAGAGGGACAAGCGUGGGAAGGGAGUCCACUGUGUGCUCUUGCUGCGUCUUUUAGCUUGAUUUAUGUGACCAAAAUAAGUGAUUUAUCCUGCAAGCUAAAACAGAAGUUUUAGUUUGUUUUAUUUAAGGGAAGACACCUGUCAUCUGAAGAUGAGAUAUGACUCAACAAAAAUGUCGGACUUUGAUAAGCUACAGUCUUUAGAUUUAGUACAGCCAUCAAUCCAGCUUUAGGGUCUUUAAAUAU